rnacentral:rRNA from 1 species
GACGAACGCUGGCGGCGUGCUUAACACAUGCAAGUCGAACGAUGAAGCCUAGCUUGCUAGGUGGAUUAGUGGCGAACGGGUGAGUAAUACGUGAGUAACCUACCUUUAACUCUGGGAUAAGCCCGGGAAACUGGGUCUAAUACCGGAUACGACCAAUCUCCGCAUGGGGUGUUGGUGGAAAGCGUUAUGUAGUGGUUAUAGAUGGGCUCACGGCCUAUCAGCUUGUUGGUGAGGUAACGGCUCACCAAGGCGACGACGGGUAGCCGGCCUGAGAGGGUGACCGGCCACACUGGGACUGAGACACGGCCCGGACUCCUACGGGAGGCAGCAGUGGGGAAUAUUGCACAAUGGGCGCAAGCCUGAUGCAGCGACGCCGCGUGAGGGAUGACGGCCUUCGGGUUGUAAACCUCUGUUAGCAGGGAAGAAGAGAGAUUGACGGUACCUGCAGAGAAAGCGCCGGCUAACUACGUGCCAGCAGCCGCGGUAAUACGUAGGGCGCGAGCGUUGUCCGGAAUUUAUGGGCGUAAAGAGCUUGUAGGCGGUUUGUCGCGUCUGCUGUGAAGGCCGGGGCUUAACCCCGUGUAUUGCAGUGGGUACGGGCAGACUAGAGUGCAGUAGGGGAGACUGGAAUUCCUGGUGUAGCGGUGGAAUGCGCAGAUAUCAGGAGGAACACCGAUGGCGAAGGCAGGUCUCUGGGCUGUAACUGACGCUGAGAAGCGAAAGCAUGGGGAGCGAACAGGAUUAGAUACCCUGGUAGUCCAUGCCGUAAACGUUGGGCACUAGGUGUGGGGGACAUUCCACGUUUUCCGCGCCGUAGCUAACGCAUUAAGUGCCCCGCCUGGGGAGUACGGCCGCAAGGCUAAAACUCAAAGAAAUUGACGGGGGCCCGCACAAGCGGCGGAGCAUGCGGAUUAAUUCGAUGCAACGCGAAGAACCUUACCAAGGCUUGACAUAUACUGGACCGCAUCAGAGAUGGUGUUUCCCUUCGGGGCUGGUAUACAGGUGGUGCAUGGUUGUCGUCAGCUCGUGUCGUGAGAUGUUGGGUUAAGUCCCGCAACGAGCGCAACCCUCGUUCUAUGUUGCCAGCACGUUAUGGUGGGGACUCAUAGGAGACUGCCGGGGUCAACUCGGAGGAAGGUGGGGAUGACGUCAAAUCAUCAUGCCCCUUAUGUCUUGGGCUUCACGCAUGCUACAAUGGCCGGUACAGAGGGUUGCGAUACUGUGAGGUGGAGCUAAUCCCUAAAAGCCGGUCUCAGUUCGGAUUGGGGUCUGCAACUCGACCCCAUGAAGUCGGAGUCGCUAGUAAUCGCAGAUCAGCAACGCUGCGGUGAAUACGUUCCCGGGCCU